UACGUAGGGGGCUAGCGUUGUCCGGAUUUAUUGGGCGUAAAGCGCGUGUAGGCGGCCAGGUAGGUCUGCUGUGAAAACUCGAGGCUCAACCUCGAGAUGUCGGCGGAAACCAUCUGGCUAGAGUCCGGAAGAGGAGAGUGGAAUUCCCGGUGUAGCGGUGAAAUGCGCAGAUAUCGGGGAAGAACACCGGUGGCGAAGGCGGGGUCUCU
rnacentral:rRNA from 1 species